GAACGCUGGCGGCAGGCUUAACACAUGCAAGUCGAGCGGUAACAGGGGGUGCUUGCACCCCGCUGACGAGCGGCGGACGGGUGAGUAAUGCUUAGGAAUCUGCCCAGUAGUGGGGGAUAGCCCGGGGAAACCCGGAUUAAUACCGCAUACGUCCUACGGGAGAAAGCAGGGGAUCUUCGGACCUUGCGCUAUUGGAUGAGCCUAAGUCGGAUUAGCUAGUUGGUGGGGUAAAGGCCUACCAAGGCGACGAUCCGUAGCUGGUUUGAGAGGAUGAUCAGCCACAUCGGGACUGAGACACGGCCCGAACUCCUACGGGAGGCAGCAGUGGGGAAUAUUGGACAAUGGGGGCAACCCUGAUCCAGCCAUGCCGCGUGUGUGAAGAAGGCUUUCGGGUUGUAAAGCACUUUCAGUGAGGAGGAAAACCUUACGGUUAAUAACCGUGAGGCUUGACGUUACUCACAGAAGAAGCACCGGCUAACUCCGUGCCAGCAGCCGCGGUAAUACGGAGGGUGCAAGCGUUAAUCGGAAUUACUGGGCGUAAAGCGCGCGUAGGUGGUUCGAUAAGCGGGAUGUGAAAGCCCCGGGCUUAACCU
rnacentral:rRNA from 1 species